rnacentral:rRNA from 1 species
AACGAACGCUGGCGGCAUGCCUAACACAUGCAAGUCGAACGAAGCCUUCGGGCUUAGUGGCGCACGGGUGCGUAACGCGUGGGAAUCUGCCCUUGGGUUCGGAAUAACAGUUAGAAAUGACUGCUAAUACCGGAUGAUGUCUUCGGACCAAAGAUUUAUCGCCCAAGGAUGAGCCCGCGUAGGAUUAGGUAGUUGGUGGGGUAAUGGCCCACCAAGCCGACGAUCCUUAGCUGGUCCGAGAGGAUGAUCAGCCACACUGGGACUGAGACACGGCCCAGACUCCUACGGGAGGCAGCAGUGGGGGAUAUUGACAAUGGGCGAAAGCCUGAUCCAGCAAUGCCGCGUGAGUGAUGAAGGCCUUAGGGUUGUAAAGCUCUUUUACCAGGGAUGAUAAUGACAGUACCUGGAGAAUAAGCUCCGGCUAACUCCGUGCCAGCCGCCGCCGUAAGAC